rnacentral:tRNA from 1 species
GGCUGAAUAGCUCAGUGGUAAGAGCAGUCGCCCGGCAAGCGAUAGACUCGGGUUCGAUUCCCGAUUCAGCGA